rnacentral:lncRNA from 1 species
AGAAGGUUCAUGAAUGGGUUUAGAUGGUUCAGAAAUGAGUACAGAGGGUUCUGAGAUGGUUUUAGAAGGUUCUGGUACAGACUAAGUCUUUUCAGAGUCAGUUGUGGCUUGAAGGUCUUCAUGGUUUGGGGAGGUUGGGUCAGGGAUAUCUGAACCAGAUUAUUCAGAGUUAGAUGUUAGGUCAUAGUAGGGAGGGGAAUUGUGGUUAGAGGAGAG